UCGAAUUCUGAGGGGGGGAAGACGAGAAGUGGAGACUGUCGCUGGCCCCUUCUACUCUGGGGCAUGUGCACGUCUUCCUUUUCAUUGACCCCCUUCCUCACACACAACACACCUGUGCACCUGUUGUAGGUCCUCGGAAGAGGAUCUAUGUUUUUUUCACAUCACACACCGUCGUAUGUCUAUAGAAUGUAUUGAAGACCAUCUGAUGAUGGGUCGAUAAAUAAAUCAUA
rnacentral:misc_RNA from 1 species